UCCUACGGGACGCAGCAGUGAGGAAUAUUGGUCAAUGGUCGGGAGACUGAACCAGCCAAGCCGCGUGAGGGAGGAAGGUACAGAGUAUCGUAAACCUCUUUUGUCAGGGAACAAAGACUGGGACGCGUCCCCGGAUGAGUGUACCUGAAGAAAAAGCAUCGGCUAACUCCGUGCCAGCAGCCGCGGUAAUACGGAAGAUGCGAGCGUUAUCCGGAUUUAUUGGGUUUAAAGGGUGCGCAGGCGGUCUGUUAAGUCAGCGGUCAAAGCCCGGGGCUCAACCCCGCCCAGCCGUCGGAACUGCCGGG
rnacentral:rRNA from 1 species